CUGCGCGUACGACUUCACCACGUCAGAUCCUGCCGUAUUAAUCGCCAUCACCGGUUGGGCUAUGCUUCUGUGAAACCUCCAUGAUGUGACGGGCGGUGUGUAGAACCGGGAACGUAUUCACGACAUGCUGAUCCGCGAUGCUGGCGAUUCGACUUCGCGAUCGGGUGCAGACUGCGAUCGGACUACGAUCGGGUUUCUGGGAUUGGCUCCCUCGCGGAUUGGCGACCCUCUAUCCCGUCAUUGGCGCAGAAGCUUGUCUUGAAGCCUACCGCAGAACCCGAGGACUUGACGUCAUCACCUUUAUCCAUUGUCACCGGCAGUCUCGAUAAAUGCCUCAUAACAACCUAUGGCAAAAGUGCAUAAUGCAGGAGCUGCCCAACAUCUCGGCACGAGCGGCGACAGCCAUACGCUUUACCUGUGUUCCGGUUCUCUUGCGAGCACUCGAUCUCUUCAGGUUCGAGACAUGUCAAAAGUAGUAAAUUUUAACGCAUCGUUAAUCCACAUCAUCCACCGCCUUGCGGGUCCAUCAAUUCGCGCCAGGUUUUAAUCGACCGUAUCUGAGCAGUCAGCUUCACGCGUUAGCUGCGCUGCAAGGCGAAGGCCCCAACAGCUGAAUUGACAUCGUUUAGGGCGUGGACUACCGGGAUAUCUGAUCCUGGCUGUCCGCUUUCGUGCGCGAGCAUCAGUGUUAUCCCGGGAGGCUGCCUUCGCCAUCGGUGUUCCUCGCAUAUCUCGCAUUCCGCUGCGCUACGCGGAAUUCCCUCCUCGACCUGCUCAGCUCGGUGAUUGAAAUGCGGUUCAAAGUUAGCUCUGGGAUUUCAUCUUUCCGAACCGCCUGCGCACGCUUUACGCCAAUAAUUCCGGUCAACACCCUGCGUAAUACCGCGACUGCUGGCGUAAUUGGCGUGCUUAUUCUUGCGGGUACCGUCAGUUGCACGAGGUAUUAUCCGUGCCGUUUUCUUUAUCACUGCCAAAGUGCUUUACAACCGAAGACCUUCAUCCUUUACGCGGAGAUGGCUGAAUCGGGGCUACGUAUCCAAAAUUCACGCAUAUCGUAAUCUGGGCAUCAAUUGUGUAACUGGUCGUCCUCCGUCGCUUUGCAGAUCAUCAUAUAGUAACCGUGCCUGGCUAACUGUCCGAUAUCGGCAUACUGUAAAUGCGAGGCGGGAAUUGCCCUACACGAGAACUAUAUGCGUAUUAACUACGCUUUCGCUAUGUAUCCCCGCACUAAACGCAUUCGACCAGCCUCACCCAUUCGCCACUCACUUUUCAGACCGAAAUCCGUACUGCCAUUCGACUUCCAUAUGUAAACAUCCGCCAGCAUUCAGCGUCUGGUAUAAUCGAACCUCUGUUGAUAAUACGGGAACGUAUAAUAACUUA
rnacentral:rRNA from 1 species